CCUACGGUGUGCAGCAGUAGGGAAUAUUGCUCAAUGGGGGAAACCCUGAAGCAGCAACGCCGCGUGGAGGAUGAAGGUUUUCGGAUUGUAAACUCCUUUUGUUAGAGAAGAUAAUGACGGUAUCUAACGAAUAAGCACCGGCUAACUACGUGCCAGCAGCCGCGGUAACACGGGGGGUGCAAGCGUUACUAUGAAUCACUGAGGGUAAAGAGGGCGUAGGCGGGAUAGCAAGGCAGAUGUGAAAUCCUAUGGCUUAACCAUAGAACUGCAUUUGAAACUGUUAUUCUAGAGUAUGGGAGAGGUAGGUGGAAUGCGUGGUGUAGGGGUAAAAUCCGUAGAGAUCAAGAGGAAUACUCAUUGCGAAGGCGACCUGCUAGAACAUAACUGACGCUGAUGCGCGAAAGCGUGGGGAGCAAACAGGAUUAGAUACCCCAGUAGUC
rnacentral:rRNA from 1 species